CCCUUAGAUGUUCUGGGCCGCACGCGCGCUACACUGAUGCAUUCAACGAGUCUAAAACCUGGUCUGAUAGGGCUGGGUAAUCUUUUGAAUGUGCAUCGUGAUUGGGAUAGAUGAUUGCAAUUCUUCAUCUUCAACGAGGAAUGCCUAGUAAACGCAAGUCAUCAGUUUGCAUUGAUUACGUCCCUGCCCUUUGUACACACCGCCCGUCGCUCCUACCGAUUGAAUGUUCCGAUGAAUACCAUGGACUGAGAGUAUGAAUGGGUUCGCCUAUUUCUGCUUCUCGGGAAGUGGAGUAAAUCUUAACAUUUAGAGGAAGGAGAAGUCGUAACA
rnacentral:rRNA from 1 species